rnacentral:rRNA from 1 species
CGGGGGGAGCAAGCGUUGUUCGGAUUUACUGGGCGUAAAGGGCGCGUAGGCGGCCAGCACAAGUCAGUUGUGAAAUCUCCGGGCUUAACUCGGAACGGUCAACUGAUACUGUGCGGCUAGAGUGCAGAAGGGGCAACUGGAAUUCUCGGUGUAGCGGUGAAAUGCGUAGAUAUCGAGAGGAACACCUGCGGCGAAGGCGGGUUGCUGGGCUGACACUGACGCUGAUGCGCGAAAGCCAGGGGAGCGAACGGGAUUAGAUACCCCGGUAGUCCUGGCCUUAAACGAUGGAUGCUUGGUGUCUGGAGUUUUAUAGUCUCCGGGUGCCGUAGCUAACGCGUUAAGCAUCCCGCUGGGGAUACGGUCGCAAGACUG